AUAGCCCCAUAAUGCCCAGGAAUGGGUAAAGAGAUGUCCUCAGAGUGACAGUUUCAUAGAGAAAUUGAAUGGGCAAUUAAAACAUUGGUUGUCUAAAGCAGGGGGACAUAAAAGCAUGAAGGGCUGGUUUACACGCCUUUAUGAGUGUGUGCUCAUACUCAAGAUGAGCGAGCCCAAAUGAGUAUCCCCACUAUAUUUUCCUCCAUUUUGCUGGUUGAUUUGGGGAAGAGAGGAUGGGGAAGGAUGUUGGUAUGAUUAUGCAAUUUCUGCCAAGGGAGGAAUAUGCUGAUAUAAUAACUAUACUUUUUCCCUUUCUUCUUCACAUCACCUUAAUUGUUUUUUUCUUUACCUGAUGCAGGGGUCACAGGACUACAGCUGCUGAAAGUAGGAAUGAUUUCUAGGAAAGCUUCUGCCAGAAUUCCUAAGGGUCUGGUGGAGGUGGGGUGUGCAAAAUUGGGACUAACAGUGAAUGUCACUAUAUUCCCUGGUGAUAAAAAUAGCCCACUAGUACUGCACUUAUGUCACCUCAACCUAUCUAAAUGGGAAUGGACCGAGGGAAAGUACUUGUUAAAGACUAGUAUUGCUGUCUGCAAUCUAGACCAGCACAGUGGUGAUUCUAACAUCCCUUCCAAAGGUAAAAACAAGUUUGGAUAUUAAUGGAGAGUAGGAAAAAUAGUAGCAGAGGAUAAAGGAAUGAAGAAAUUGAUUAUAAAUUAAGGAAAAUCUGAUAAGAGAUGACAUUGUCUUAGCUGAAUUAUGCCAGAUACCUGAAAGGGUGACGUAUGUUCACUGAGACCACUCCUGCGAAUGGAAGCCUGUCAAUCUGAGUGACCUCACCCUGGGAGACAUUCCUACAAUAUGAUGGGCUGGACUCAUUAUUAAUGAUUGGAUUGGAUUCUAGUAAUGUGGCAGUAUCUUUUGAGUCAUGUAUCCUUUUGGCAUAAGUGACCGGGUUCAAAAACUAGGUGAACUGUUAUAUUGUGAAGUAUAUAUUUGAUCUUUGACCCAGUUUCCUGGCAUACAACUCCAAAAAUCCUUGGAAUCUCCAAAGCUGUGUCUUUUUGAAUGCUAACGAUUGACUGAUGGCUACUGCCCUCACAUAAGCUUUUUUAGUUCUGUUUUUAUUUCUACUUUAAUUGUCCUAUCAGUGUUCAUGCCCAAUAUUGCCUUGUAUAUAUACUCUUAUUGUAAGC
rnacentral:lncRNA from 10 species